UCGCAAGACCUCGCGCGAUUGGAGCGGCCGAUAUCAGAUUAGGUAGUUGGUGAGGUAAAGGCUCACCAAGCCAACGAUCUGUAGCUGGUCUGAGAGGACGACCAGCCACACUGGAACUGAGACACGGUCCAGACUCCUACGGGAGGCAGCAGUGGGGAAUUUUGGACAAUGGACGCAAGCCUGAUCCAGCAAUGCCGCGUGCAGGAUGAAGGCCUUCGGGUUGUAAACUGCUUUUGUACGGAACGAAACGGUGAGCUCUAAUACAGUUUGCUAAUGACGGUACCGUAAGAAUAAGCACCGGCUAACUACGUG
rnacentral:rRNA from 1 species